AUGUCUUGCAGCUGUGGAUCAAGCUGCGGCUGCGGCUCAAACUGCAACUGCGGCAAGAUGUACCCUGACUUGGAGAAGAGCGGCGCCACCGUGCAGGCCACCGCCGUCGUCCUCGGCGUUGGGCCUGCGAAGGUGCAGUUCGAGGAGGCCGCCGAGUCCGGUGAAGCCGCCCACGGCUGUAGCUGUGGCGCCAGCUGCAAGUGCGACCCUUGCAACUGCUAA
rnacentral:rRNA from 1 species